CUGGCUUGUUCUUUUGGACCACUUGCUCUGUUGGAAGCCAGGUCCUUCGUCACAAGCAUACUUAAACAAUUUGAAGGAGAGGCUCUAGCGAAGAGGAACCAUCCUCUCAAACACACAACGAAUAACAAAUAGAAUGGAAUGACUCCCUUUCAUUUAAAACCACUGCAGUAAAAAGAAAGAUUAAGAAGGAAGUGCCAUAAGAAUUGAAGAGAUCCAGUGCACCUUUUAGCCACAGAGAAGGCAAAGAGUAUGGAAAGAGCAAACACACCUGCUUCUUAAUCAAUUCCACUCACCUUCUUAAUCAAUUCCACUCACCUUCCAUCGGUAAGAACUGAACGUAUUGUCACACCUGGCAUGUCACCUCUCAAUACAGAAGAGAACAAGAGAACACAUCUUGGCUUUCAUGAGCCGAGAACAGCCUUCCUCCACUAUGCUCUUCCACCAUGAUGUUUCUGCUUUGGAGCCAGUUGAUUGUAGGCUGAACCUCUGAAACUGUGAACCUCC